CCUUGUCACUGGAAUUAGGGUCUGAAAAACUCAGACAUUGGGUGUUGUCAUCAGCUUCAUUUCCUUCAUAACCCACUAGAUCGGAGUUAGAUCAAAGCACAACAUCA